ACCCCCCACCUCUCGAUUUUGAUCUUCAUUCAACCUUUGAACGCUACCAACAUCAGUACAGACCCCCCAUUAUCAAACCUUUGACGCCAACAGCCUCUGCCGCCGACUUCCACCAGCGACCAAAAAACCCAUCGGCCUCAGUACAAAAAAUAAGACACCCUUGACUUUCUUCUUCCACUUUCACCAUCAUUAACAUCAAGCUCCCUAAAAUUCCCAAAAACUAGACGCAAAUCUCCACCUUCUCAACCAAAGAACGCGACUGAAACAAGCUCAAAAAUCUCCACCACCACCAGCCCGUUUCAGCCUCGAAAAUCUGUCACUUCAGCCCUGAAAACGAGCAACCAAAAAGCCCCAACGAGGAUCUCUGGAUUGAUGUACCCACGAAAAUAUCUGUUUUAAUGUCUUAGAUGUACUCAUGUUAAGAUUAGUUCGUGCUUCUCUGUUUGAAUCAAUUCUCUGGUUUCAAAAAUAGAUUUCUUGUGAGAUCCGUUUGGAGAUAACGAGCGCGACUGCUGUUUGAGGUUCGGGUUUUCCGUUGCCGUCAUGUUUUCUGAUCUGGUCAGUGGUUCAAGCUUCGUUCCGUGUUUCAAUUUGUUCGCUUUUCGGAUCUGAAAUCAGUGUAUAUAUUUGAUUUGUUUGUUUGGUUUUCUCCUAUUUUUACUCAUUGCUUAUGUGAUAAUGUUGUGAGCAUGUCUGCGGUGGUUUUUCUUGCCUUGUUCUUAAUGGAGUAGAUAAGUCUUGUUAUUCUCUUCUAUCAUGCACAUGUGAAUCUUAAAGGGAUGAAGUUACGCCAUGGAUUUCGACUUUCCUUACGAGAUGCUCAUUUUGUUCAUUUUUGUAUUAGCAUGUUAAAAAAUGGAUUUCCAUUUAAUAGAUUAUUAAAGUUUGUAGUAACUUGAGAAAUUUGAUAAUAUGAAAAGUAGUUAUAGUGUUUUUAUGCAGGCGAUUUGGCCAUUGUGUAUAAAAUUGUAUCACUUAGGUCUCUCCUGUUUUUAUUGAGUUGGUACUCAUCCAAACAUGAUCGCGGAUUUUCUAAAAUGAAUGUUCCUAGUUUUUCAUUAAGUUUGUAUAUCAUCGUGAUUAUGUAUACGUUUGCGUGACAAAGUUAUGAUUCCUUAAAAACUAAUAUAAAUCGAGGUAUACGUUUCCGCAACUUUGACUAAACUUUUUUAAUAAUGAUAAGGCUCUGUUACUUAUGGAUACAUUUGCGUGACAUGAUUUUUGACGCGCCAAACAAAUGAGUACAAGUACACGUGACUCGUUUCAAGAUAAUUUUUUUUUAAGAGGUGAAAGCACAUAUGUUCUAAAAUGCUUAGUUAAAGAAUUUUAAUACGCCAAGUAUGAUCAAAGCGACCAUUCUAAACCACGAAACUCAGAAAUGCCUAUCAACUUCUUUCGGGUUAACAAAAUUCCUUACCCGAAUUUGUGUUCGCAGACCGUAAAACAAAGUCAAAUUUUCUCGAUUCGAGAUUUUAAACCACUUGGGAUACCAUAAAUUAUCCCAAGUGGCGAUUCUGGAAUUAAUAUAAAUAAUUUUGUUUCUUUUGUCACUUAAAUUGAGAAAAAACUCCCUUAUAUACACUUCCAGGGUGUGAAAAGGGAGGUGUGGCAACUCUGGUGACUUUGCUAGGGACAACAACCUAGAACUUCUUGUUCAGAAUUUAGAUUGAGCCUGUUAAUAUGAUUUUUACUUAGCUUUAUUUAUUGUUGACAUUACUACAUUUUGUGGACCUAGUAUGCUAAUUGUCAUUUAUAUACUUCUUUGAUAUUAUUUGAAUCGUAUUAAAAUGUCCUCUUACGCCACCUCUCUGAGUCUUCUAAAAAUGGUGCACAUGUUUGCGUGACCUACUUUUGCUGUAGAAGUUAUACCAAAUAGAACGAGGUUGGGCCAGCAACAAGGCCGGGUAUGCUUUCGUGCUCCCGAUACGUUGCCCCCUCUUCAGCUCUAGUUAUCUACUCGGGUAAGCCAGGUCAAGAACACAACCCCAGGUUUAAACUUAGAAUAACAUAACCUCAUGUCGGAUCCCUAAUAAGAACGUUUGUUUGCAUCACAUGCAUUUGACUUAGGGGACUUAACAUAGGGUUUGGGUCUCUCUAGGACAAGUGUACGCAAAAAUAAAAGAUCAUCCCGAUGCAUCCUAUGUGCUACACAUUAUAUUUCUUCAAGGGCAAAAGGGUCAUUUGAAGGACCAAUGAUUGCUAAGGGUAAAUGAGAAAGGAAAUAGGAUAAAGUGCGAAAAUAAAGCAAGUAGGACCCAGUUAUGUUUUUUCUUUCACUUUUGUUUAAGAAAAAUACGAAAAAAAAAGUAUAUGAAAAUCCAUAAAGUUUUUGCACUUUCUCAUCACUUUCCAAAAAAUCAAAAAAAAAGGAAAAAGAAAAUUCAAAAGAUUCCACAUGUUUCAUUAUUUUUCAAAAAAAAAAGACAAAAAAUAAAUUUUCUCUAAAUUAGUUAUUUUUUUAAUUCUAGCAUGUAUCUGAUCAUCCAGAACUACGUAUACCUGAUUCUCGUCUUUUGGGGUGGGAUACGUAGGCAACCCACAUAGGGUUCGGUCUUCCUUGUGAGUCUUAAUGUGACGACCCAAGGUGGUCAUCACUUGUUUUCUUACCUAUUUUGUUUUUUCAAGGCCUUGAAAACCUCAUCAGGGGUUGCCUCGAUUGGCAUGCGCAAUCGGGGCGCGUCGCCGGAAAGCUUAGAUAUGAAUUUAGUGAGAAAAAUGCUAAAUUUUUAUAUUAAGUUGAAUAAAUUUGACUCCGGUCAACUUUUUGGGUAAACGGACUCGGAAGCGUAAAUUGACAGUCUCGGAGGGCCCGUACGAAAUAUGGGAUUUGUGCUAUGCCCGGAAUUGAAAUCCAAAGUCCCAAGCCCGAGAAAUGAAUUUUUAUGUGAAAUUAUUUUCUGAAAAUAAUUAAGAAAUUGGAAUUGAAAUUUGAUUAAAAGAUUAUGGUAUCGGGCCCGUAUUUUGUUUCUGGUGCCCAGUAUAAGUCUUAUAUAUGGUUUAAGUACUUUCUGUAAAGUUUGGUUUAAAACAGACGUCGUUUUAACGUGUUUCGGACUUAAAAUGGGAAUUUGAUGUUUUAUGAAAAUUUGGAGGAAAUCAUGAGUUUUGAAGCUUGAUUCGACAUAUGUGAUGUUAUUUUGGAAAUUUGAUUGUGCGAGUAAGUCUGUAGGAUAUUUUUGAGGUUGUGUGCAUAUUUGGUUUAGAGCCCCGAGGGCUCGCGUGAGUUUUGGAUAGGUGUUGGAUUGCAUUUUUGGACUUGUAGAAAAUUUGGUAUUUUGCUUCUGUGAUCUUUGCAUUUGCAAACAAAAGCCUCGCAGUUGCGAGCUCGCAAAUGCGAGCUUUCUGUCGAAAAUGCGAAGCCUUGGACCUGGGCAUAUGAUCGCAAAUUCAAUCCAUUUUCUCGCAAAUGCGAACGAGAGAUUUCUUAGCAUGAUCGCAAAUGCGAUCAUUGUGCUCACAAAUGCAGAAAUAGGCUGAUCGCAAAUGCGAUCUUUAUGCUCGCAAAUGCAAAACCUGGCAAAUUAGUAAGGGUUUGCAAAUGCGAACCCAGCUUCGCAUUUCCCACAUUUGGUCAGGGUUCACAAUUGUGAACCCCAGUUCGCAAUUGCGACAUCAGAGACCCAGCAAUUUUUUUACUUAGUCAUUUUUUCACCAUUCCUUCAAGACCCAAACCCUAUAGCCGAUUUUUCAAGGACACAACUUCUUCCAAAUCAUUUGUAAGUCAACUUUUACUUAAUUCCUUCAAUCUUUUACAUCAUUUAAUAUCUUUUCCUCUUAAAAUCGAUGAUUUUCAUGGGUGAAAUUAGAUGUUUUGGGUAGAAACUAGGUUUUUCUAAAAUUAGGGAUUUGGACCUCAAUUUGAGGUCCGAUUUCAAAACAAAUCAUAUACUUGUGCUCGUGGGGGAAUAGGUAACUGGGUUUUGGUUCGAACCCCGAGUUUUGACCACGUUGGCCGGAGGGGCGUUUUGGUUAUUUUACCUAAAUUUGCGUCUUAGCUUGAAUUAAAUAGUCUAAUCAGUUACUUGAGAUCUUAUUUAUAAUAUGUGAUUGAAUUGAAUAGAUUUGGGCAAUUUGGAGUCGAGUAUUCAUGGCAAGAACGGGGUUGCUAGUUGAUUUUAACCGGUUUGAGGUAAGUAUCUUGCCUAACCUUGUGUGGGGUACUUCCCCUUAGGACUUCAGUCUUCUUUGUUUCUUGUAUUCCUAGUAUGCAAGGUGACGAGUAUGUACUUGGAUUUAUUUAUGAACAAUUUGCCCCUUUUAGGCUCUUAGAUCCUUGUAAUUACCGAAAUGAAGUUGUUCUUGAUACGAUUGAGUUCUCUAUUAUUAGUUUCACCUUUACAUGUCUUACUUGGAAUUUUAUUUGCCCGGUUUGGUUUGUUCUUGUUGCCUAAUUGACUUUUACUUGAUUAAUUGUGGACACUUACCCUUCUAUAGUCACAUUAUUAUUCU
rnacentral:lncRNA from 1 species